rnacentral:rRNA from 1 species
UACGAAGGGUGCAAGCGUUACUCGGAAUUACUGGGCGUAAAGCGUGCGCAGGCGGUUUUGUAAGCCAGAUGUGAAAGCCCCGGGCUUAACCUGGGAAUGGCAUUUGGGACUGCAAGGCUCGAGUGCGGCAGAGGAGACGUGGAAUUCCUGGUGUAGCAGUGAAAUGCGUAGAUAUCUGGAGGAAUACCGGUGGCGAAGGCGGCGA